UACGUAGGGUGCAGGCGUUAAUCGGAAUUACUGGGCGUAAAGCGUGCGCAGGCGGUCUACUAAGACAGGUGUGAAAUCCCCGGGCUUAACCUGGGAACUGCGCUUGUAACUGGUAGGCUUGAGUGUGGCAGAGGGGGGGUGGAAUUCCAGGUGUAGCAGUGAAAUGCGUAGAUAUCUGGAGGAACACCGAUGGCGAAGGCAGCCCCCUGGGCUAACACUGACGCUCAUGCACGAAAGCGUGGGGAGCAAACAGG
rnacentral:rRNA from 1 species